AGUUAGCUUGUAGCUCUGACUUAAUGUCGAGCUCUGAGGAAUCUGUCAGGUUCAGACCAAAGAUUGGCGACGUAACGAGUCGAAACUUCAACUUCUAGCAGCGCUGCUCCUUCUUAGUGG